AAACUUUCAACAACGGAUCUCUUGGUUCUCGCAUCGAUGAAGAACGCAGCGAAAUGCGAUAAGUAGUGUGAAUUGCAGAAUUCAGUGAAUCAUCGAAUCUUUGAACGCACAUUGCGCCCUCUGGUAUUCCGGAGGGCAUGCCUGUUCGAGCGUCA
rnacentral:rRNA from 2 species